ensembl:lncRNA
GCCUCCUCUGCUGUGUUGUGAGCAAGAUAUGCCCUCUUUUUUCCUUUCCAUCAAGAUGGUCGGUGAGGCAUCCCCUACUUGCUGCUGUAGGUGGGCUGACUCAUCACUGCCGGAGGGGCCACAGGCUGCAUCUGGAUUUGGAGUGACCUGGGGGAGGAGGAGAUCAGCUGUGUGGUCACAAAUGGACACUUAAUGGGGAGACUCAGAGAAUAGAAGGAUGAAUACAACCACACUGGACUGCUUUCUUACAGAACAGACAAUGGUGUGAAUGAUGGAAAUUCCAAACGAGGUCUGUGACCAGUCUUAAACAACAAAGAAAUGAAUCGAAGUUGGGAAGCCGUCCUAACUGCCAAUUGAUGGCUAAUGAAUAGGAGACAGCAGGUGGGAGGAGAGAGGCCACAUCCAUUCUGAAGAAUGAAGACAGUGGAAGCCUUGAUCUGGCGGUGGGCAUCUGGUGUGAUGUCCAUCUCCUGGGAGCCAAAAUAACAUUAGCAAAGACAAUAGAUUUCUUAUACCAGAAAAAUUAGCACCAAGAGC